AUAGCAAUAGCUAGUUGCAUCAUAGUAGAUAUGAUGCAAGAUCGACUAUGUUGAAUAAAAUUCUAGGUAGAAUUAUGAUAAUGACAUUGUCUGCCUAUGUGUCUUGACCAAAUUACGUGCCAGCAGUCGCGGUAAUACGUAGAAGACUAGUGUUAUUCAUGUUUAAUCGGUUUAAAGGGUACCUAGACGGUAGAUCAAGCUUUCUAAUAAAGGAAAAGGACUAAUUUACUAGAGUUACUUAUGAGGGGGUAUUAAAGUACUGCUGGUGUAGAGAUGAAAUUCUGUCAUACCUCUUUUCAAAAGAAAAACCAUGGCACAGGUAUAGGCGAAGGCAUCCCCUUAUGUGAUAACUGACGUUGAGGGACGAAGGCUUUGUGUAGCGAACAGGAUUAGAUACCCCAGUAGUCGAAGCAGAAAAUGAUGAAUGUCAUAGAUUAGAUAUAUAAGUUUAUUCUAUAAAUGAAAGUGUAAGCAUUCCACCUCAUGAGUAAUUUGGCAACAUUGGAACUGAAAUCAUUAGACCGUUUCUGAAACCAGUAGUGAAGUAUGUUGUUUAAUUUGAUGUUCCGCAAAAAACCUUACCACAAUUUGAAUAUUUAUAUUGUUUAUUGUUUUAUUAUUAAUUUUCUUGAACGUAAAAGAAAAGAGAGAUGUAGGAUAAUAGUAAGAAAAUUAAGAAACAAGCAAUAAGAUAUAAUUACAAGCGUUGCACGGCUGUCUUCAGUUAAUGUCGCGAGACUUUGGUUAGUUCCAUUAAAUUAACGUAAACCCUUACUUUAUUUUUAUAUAGAGUAGUUCCCCGCUAGAUUGGAUAUGAU
rnacentral:rRNA from 1 species